UAAAACCUUGAAAAGGAGGAAAGUAAAGGCUCUACUGACUCACUGAAACAUAGGUGAGAAAAUUAAGUCCAAGACCCAUCUCUGCUCACUUACAAAUGUCUAAAUGGUCAGCGUAUGCAGUCUCCACAUUUACUCUCAGUACAGGGAACCCAACCUCUCA